rnacentral:rRNA from 1 species
UACGGAGGGUGCAAGCGUUAAUCGGAAUUACUGGGCGUAAAGCGCGUGUAGGCGGUUUUUUAAGUCGGAUGUGAAAGCCCCGGGCUCAACCUGGGAACUGCAUCCGAUACUGGAAGACUAGAAUGCGGGAGAGGGAGGUAGAAUUCCAUGUGUAGCAGUGAAAUGCGUAGAUAUAUGGAGGAAUACCAGUGGCGAAGGCGGCCUCCUGGCUCGACAUUGACGCUGAGGUGCGAAAGCGUGGGGAGCAAACGGG